rnacentral:misc_RNA from 1 species
UUACCGCCCCCAUGAAAGUCACAGAAGAGUUAUCGAACAUCUGCGUCAUAAUCAUUCUCAACCUAUAUUGAACCAAUCGGGUGUCCUUAACGUUGAAAGGAUUCACUCAUCCCUUCGCAAAUCGCUGCUUUUCUUUGUUCAGUUGACUGCUAAGUUCCCUCUUGUGCUGAUAUUCCUCCUCGUCCUUUAUGCCAUACCUGCAAGUGCUGCCAUUUUGAUGAUG